rnacentral:Y_RNA from 1 species
GGCCAGUCCCAGUGCACUGGUGUUUGCAAUUGAUCACAACCAGUUACAGAUUUCUUUGUUCCUUCUUCAUUCCCACUGCCUCACUUGACUAGCCUUAA